rfam:Strongylocentrotus purpuratus Contig81696_fixed, whole genome shotgun sequence.
GGUAGCGUGGCCGAGCGGUCUAAUGCGCUGGUGUAAGGCACCAGUCAUUUCGAUGGCGUGGGUUCGAAUCCCACCGCUGCCA